CACUCCUCGAUACGGUGCACCCGCAAUCCCUGCCCGCUCCUUCUUUUUGUCUAUCGACCCUUUUUUUUUCUAGUCGGUCUAUUGUGGAGGGGACAAAAGAGAAGGGGUGCUUCGUUGGAGACGAGGAGAGGAGCAAAGAGUGGAGGCGGAGAAGGAGGCCCCCGCCGACGUCUCCCUACCCCCGGUUCCCCCGUUCGUCCUACCCACCGGCCAACUAAAGAAACGGCCUAGAGGGUCGAUCCCAACGGCGGCGGCGGCGGGAGUGGGCGCGAGCACGGGAGAAGUUGAGGCCGACGCUCGAGGUGGGGGAGGUCGCCAGGUCGGAAGCCUCGUGUGCCCACGCCUAGUUUCCGUCACCACCUGCCCGAACACUUCCUCGGCGUCCUCCGCGACCUGCUCCUGUAGGUCCGGCGUAGUACUUCCUCGCCCUCUACGUCUCGAUGUAGUCCUGGCGCUCGCGCUCCAGCGGCCCAAUCAGGAGCAGUUAAACCUUAGAUGUCCUGAAAGGUGUUCAAGACGACAAUUCCAAUCGGGAGGAGUUAAACCUUAAAACUUAAAUCUGAGGAUCUGAAACUAAACAAGAAAUUCAAAGACUAGAACGCUAAGUUAUGUGCUUUUGUUCCUAAGUGUCUUCGUUUUUCGGGCUAACCUCAUCUCCUUAAUCAAAAACGUUAUUCGCACUAACCUCAUCUACUAAAAACACAUACGUUCCGUUCCGUUCCGUUCGGUUAUCCGUCUCGAGGGUAGAUCGGUCCCCUUCCUCUGCGUGCGUAGUAGUGUCAACCCCUGCCCCACAUAGUUGUUUGCGUACUAGUUGAGCGUGGAUCGGCUUUCGUGUGCUUCCAUCGUCCAGUGUGGUCGGGCAUGUGUUCCACGGCCCGAACGACAUCAGAACUGUUUCCGUACAUGCACCUCUAGCCGAACCAACUAUCGAUGACAACAGAGUUGUCUAGAGAGAAUUGACCCACCAUCGGAAACUAAUAGUCAGAUACUGUUUUCAAGUGCUGUUCGAUGACUUCUUUAGUUAGCUGGAAGGAGACAACCGAUCGAAACCGAUCUAAACGUACACAAGAACGAGUACCUCUUUAACUAGAUCCCGAUAUUUUGUUUGUAUAUAUCACACCUUCAUGUGCUUAUUUGUGAACGCUAACCUUGUUCCUUCCACGACCGGUGUUCCAACUACUUGCUCUUAUGUCUCUAAAGAACUGACCAACUUAAGUAGAACUAAAGGAUUUCACUUGGUCUUAUCACGUAGAAAACCGUCAUGAAAUCUUAUGAAUUUGUCUCUAUCUAUAAUGGAAGUUCUACAUGACAUCUCAACACCCUAAACAUUGCACAAUUCAACAUGUCUAAACUGUACGUUUGAUGAGUUUUGAACCAAUAUCGAGACAUAUAGUACCUAGGAACCGUUGAUAUACACGAAAAACAAGUGCAACACAACUAAAUAUGAUCCUAAAACAAGUCCAACAUAAUGUAACUAACAUUCAGUCUUUACAUGAUUCAUCAAUGUAGCGUUAUUCGUACCCGAAUAACCAAAAGUAAGAUGGAAGAGUUAUAAACAAUGACAAUUGUCAUGGUGGUAUUAGUCACCGACGCAAGUACCCGUAUAAGUGGUCGCGCCGCAUGGCGAUAUCGACUGUCUUUCACACGAAAGAGUCGUACUUCUAUUAUCUUACCCUUCCAUACUAGAAGUACCCGGAAUCACCAUGAUAGUAUAAUACUGUUGACGACGUUUCAAGUAUAUUACUAGGAACAAAGUCUGAGUCUAGUUUCCUUGUUCGACUAGUUAUCCAAAGUCGGUACCGAUAGGAGAGAACGUUAAAACACUACAGUCCAAAAUCGGUGUAAAAAAAGCUAAUAAAAGAGUCUUAAGAGUAUUCGUAGGAGGAACUUAUACAUCCUUAUAACGCAGUUCUUCUUGCUAGCCCAUCUCGAAUAGUGCCGUUCGAUGUCCAGCAUGGAUCGUCUGUUCGUAACAGAGUACUUUCAAAUGAAAAACAUCUACAUGUUUAACUACAUCUUUUCCACUUAAAUUAAAGUAGAUAUGUACUGGUUAACGAACGACAUGUAAACUGAUUUAUUUCGUUAUUUAGUCUGGUAUUCAUUUCAUGAAUUAUUAAUUCACCUAUCACAUACAGACCACUUGGAUCUAUAUACAUACCUGUUAUUUCUCUGUUCCAUAAAGUUUUUAAUAAAAGUACGAAUAUAUGUGUUGUUGAUAUCGUAUUUAUGCCAACUUCGAAAUGACGUUAUAAUUCGACAUUGUAUAUACACACCACUUAGUUCUAACUCGUGGAGUAAUAAAAAGAAUCUAAUCCUGCUACGUUAAAGAAAUUAGGUAACUCAAGGAACAUAACGUAUAACAUUUUUAAUAAAAAGUACGUAUAUAUAUGCUGUUGACGUCACAUUUAUACCAACUUCGAUACACGACAGUAUAAUUUAAGAUUGUAUAUACACACCAUUUAUAUCUAACUCGUAGGGUAAGUAAACGCCCUAUGCAAGAGGAAUCAGGUAACUCAAUGGAGAUAACGUAUAAAAUUUUUACCGAAGAAAUGAGCCGAUCUAGUAAACUUGUACGGUUCAGGUCACUACCAUCGAAAUGAGUCAGACUUAUAACGAUAUCGAAUCAUCCAAGAAGGUUCUUAAAGAAAACACAACGGAGAGAAAGCUCUGUGCGUGCGUGCGCGCGCGCGCAAGGCACCAAUUAAAACAUCUCCCAUUUUUCAACUCCUGAAUAACAACAGAUUAACAACUGCCUUCACGAGCUAACAGAACAUUCGAUCUUAAGAAUACCAAGGAAAGAAUGACCCGAACAAAACAAAAUAAAAGCUUUUGGGGCACUAAAAUAGCAUUAGGGUUUAACGGCUCCACCUAUUCUUAUUCCUCUUAGGUUCGGAUUAAGAAUAUAUCAACAUUACGUGGUAUAUAUGUAACUUCAUCAUAAAUACAUAAAGGACUACUUAGGUACAUAAUAGUGUGAGACUUUUGGUAUUUAUAAACUACGUCGUUUAUACAUCAAGGGGGUCCACCGGACUGUAUCGAGUCAAAUAUUACUUUCAGUAGCUUGUCUUCUUGGUCAGGAGAGAGAGAGAGAGAGAGAGGUUGUUUACUGGAUGAAAAAAACCAAUUAGUCAGACUUAAAAAAACAUGUUAGUAAGGAGUAUCCUCCAUCGUUCGUACAGUAUUGCGUAAGACUACGAAGGCCCGGUUUCAAUUACCCGAAAUGUCUAAAGAAAGGAGUGAAAACAGACAGCUCGUCAAGUUCCAUGGUGGAUACAUAGAGUGUAUAAACACAUAAGAUAGAAAUCAUCUCGACAACGCAACCAGACGAACAUUGUAAGUCAGAAACUAGUGAUGGUGGAUACAUAGAGUGUAUAAAUACGGAAGAUAGAAGUCAUCUCGACGACUCAACCAGACGAACAUUGUAAGUCAGAAAGUAGGGACACAAAAUUAUCAAGUUUAACUGUAGCCUUAGUAAUGGUUUUCUACUUACUGAUUUUCAACUAGUUAGAGUCGCUCUGUGAACUCCUUCUAGUUGAAUACUACCUAGUUCUUCAUAACACAAAGACUAGUACGUGAUAAGAGAAAAGACUUUGUAACUUCCAAGGACAAUACAAAUAGUUGUAGUACCGAGGACAAGUAAACGACACAACUGAACGUAGAGAAAAGAGUCAGGUUACCAAACAACAACGUACGGUGGACAGACAUCUACUUAUAUGUAAAGACGUGUAAGUAAUACGAUACUAUACCUGUAUACUAAACUAUCAUGAACAUAAUUCUACACUCUACUUAUAGGUAACACUCAAAUAAAGAUGAUGUACAGUUACAUGAGUACGACAGAAAGGUCCAAAGGCUACGAUUUUAAUCUAAAUGAUACAAACGG
rnacentral:rRNA from 1 species